AAUUCAUGACAAUGAGCGUGGCGACCACCAUGACGAAAAUAAGGAACCUGAGGAGCCCGGAAGGCAUGACAUCACCGUUCCUCCUCCCAGCUACCGAAGGCGCCGCGCGCUGACCUCACAAACACGGCUUCUCCUGGUACGGGCUGGUUACGCCCUCCAGCUGCGCCCCCUACACGACGACAGACGCGUCCCCCAGCCCUUCUCCUGUCCUACCACUUGUGGCGGCCAUGAAGGGGACCCCCAGCUCCCUGGACACCCUGAUGUGGAUCUACCACUUCCACAGCUCCACCGAGGUGGCCCUCCAGCCCCCGCUUCUGUCUUCCCUGGAACUCUCCGUGGCCGCAGCCCAUGAAUAUCUGGAGCAGAGGUUCAGAGAGCUGAAGUCCCUGGAGCCACCCGAACCGAAGAUGCAGGGGAUGCUGCCUGCCCCGAAGCCCACCCUGGGGCUGGUGUUGAGAGAAGCCACAGCCAGCCUCGUGAGCUUCGGCACCACCUUGUUAGAGAUCUCAGCCCUGUGGCUGCAGCAGGAGGCGCGGCGACUAGACGGCAGCGCGGGCCCAGCCCCAGACGGCAGGGAUCCGGGUGCAGCGCUGAGCCGGGUAGCCCAAGCCGCAGGGCAGGGGGUUCGGCAAGCUGGGGCUGCGGUGGGCGCCAGCGCCCGGCUCCUAGUCCAGGGAGCAUGGCUAUGCCUGUGUGGACGGGGUCUGCAGGGGUCUGCCUCAUUCCUGCGACAGUCGCAACAGCAGCUAGGCCUCGGAAUCCCCGGAGAACCGGUGAGCUCAGGACACGGGGUGAGUUAGGGGCCAGAGGCGGCGGGGCUAGGGAGGCACUGAGCCGGACUGUCCCCCAAGAGAGCUACUCGGGAGACCUCCAGGUGACGUCCAGCAGCAGUGAGGAGGACGGCGGACCAGGGACUCCAUCCCCGUACCAGCCCCACCCAGCGUCCGAAUAAAGCCCAGGGCGGGGCGAGACAGCCAGAGCUUUUCCCGGGGUCUCUGGGUUUUGGCCACGCCCCCACCCUUCACACUGGCCACACCCCCGCGGGGGCUCCGGCUUCACCUGCCCAGGAGCGGCACGCUCAGAGAAGUCUCUGGGAUUUUCUGGGCAAUGAGGAACAAGAAGACGGUCUGGGCGAGCAGGACGUUGAUGGAGACCGUGCAUUUCUGGCCGCCGGCUGGAGGGAGAGCCAGUGAGAGCGGGCCCCGCCUCCCGGGAGCGAGCCCGGGUUUGGGGGUAGGUUCGGGGCCACUGCUUACCCUGCGCCGGCAGGAAGUAGGCGAGCAGCACCAGGCCCGAGAUGAGCACACAGGGCACGAUGAUGUUAAUGACGUAGAAGAGCGGCUUCCGGCGGAUGAUGAGCGAGUAGAUGACGUCAGUCUCCCCUGGGCCGUCGGUGGCGCCACCGUGGUGGCGGCGGAUCACCCCCGGGCAGAAGUCGAUGGCCCACUCGCCGUUCUCUGCGGGACGGGGGCACGGUCAGCUGGCUGUCAGAGCGGGGCGCCCGCCGAGCUGACAGCGGGCUGAAGAGGAGGCUGCGGCUGUCUGCACCAGGGUCAUGGGCCGUCAGGAUGGGGGCAAUUACGGACAGAAAAGGGCAUUCUCGUUGAGGGUAUGGAAAGCCAGAAGGCAGGACUAGAGUAACAAUCGAGAAUGAUUUCAGGACAGGGGUAAGCUAAACCCAGUUGUGGAAGUCAUCCUCCAGUGUCGUUGGUCCGGGGCAAGCCCACCGUGGAAGUCCCCUCUCUGGACCCCGUCUAGAAGCGGGUUUUUCUGAGCAGGCAGGGGCUUCACCAGUAUAGGCCUCUGUGUCGAUGUCGAUCUUGUUGAUGGUCUUGCCGUCGUUGUCUACGGCAAAAGUGAACUCCACCUCUUCGGCAUUGUACGUCUGAGAGCUGCGGAGCCAGGGCCGGGAGCCCACCCCAGAAGCUCUGACCUGGGCCCCGGCCUCAGGCCCAGCCCUGGAAGCUGGGAUCUAGCGGGGCCGCGAUCCCAAGCCCACCCCUUCACCCAAGCCCAGCCCGCACGCCUCUGUUCCCAUCUGUACCUCCGGCCGCGCUGGAGCGUCCCACCCAGUGCCUACGCCUGGCUCCGCCUCCAGCGCGAAGCCCCGCCCCGAGGGCGGUGCUUCCCGGUUGGCCCCGCCCCAUAAGGCCCCCCCCCAACAAUAAUCGUCCGGGCCUCGGAGUAGCUCUUCCCACCGGAAAAUAAGCGAACAGUUCUGCCAAUCGAAGGGGAAGUAGGUGACCUCCACUGCGCAGACGCUGCGGUAGAUGGCCGGAGGCAGCCACGUCACGGAGCCGCCCUCGUAGACGAGCACGUUGGCGUCGUAGGCCACUCCGAACUGGCCAUCAAUACUGUGGGCUCGGGGAAACCGAGCUUUUUGCACAGACUCCCUUUCUGGGUCUCUUUGACCCAGCUUACCUCUUUGCAUGUGGCUGGUACAUGGACUAAGUCUCAAAUCUGUGCUGCUGCUUAUUCCAGAGCUUCCGCGUCAAGGCUUGGGACAAGAAUUGUGAUAAAUGCAAAUAUUUAUUCAAACAUCAGUGGACACCUACAAAGUUCCCCCUUACAGGGCCGAGUGCUACGGUUAUUGAGAUGGAUAAAACAAGCCUCAAGGAGUUAUCAUCUAAUGACAGAGACCUAUCAACAGCCAGUGAUGCCAGACUAUGAGAAGCAUAAAAAUAAACAGGUGCUAUAGAAUCUGUAGCUAGGGUGAAUCAGAUCUGUCAGAAAAGCAAGGUUUUGGCCAGGCACAGUGGCUCAUGCCUGUAAUCCUAACUAUUUGGGAGGCUGAGGCUGGAGCAUCACUUGAGCCCAGGAGUUCAAGACCAGCCUGGGCAACACAGUGAGACCCCCCAUCUCUACAAAAAUAAAUAAACAACAACAAAAAAUAUUAGCCAGGCAUCAUGGUGCAUGCCUGUAGUCCCAGCUACUUAGGAGGCUGAGGCGGGAGGAUUGCUUGACCCUAAGAGAUCAAGGACACAGUGAGCUACGAUCACACUACACUCCAGCCUGGGUGACAAGCGAGACCCUAUCUCAAAAAAAUGAAGUUUCCGGCUGGAUGCGGUGGCUCAACACCUGUAAUCCCAGCACUUUGGGAGGCCAAGGCAGGUGGACCACCUGAGGUCAAGAGUUCGAGACCAGUCUGGCCAACAUGGUGAAACCCCAUCUCUACUAAAAACACAAAAAUUAGCUGGGUGUGGUGGCUGGCACCUGUAAUCCCAGCUACUCGGGAGGCUGAGGCAGGAGAAUCACUUGAACCUGGGAGACGGAGGUUGCAGUGAGCCGAGAUCGUGCCACUGCACUCCAGCCCGGGUGACAGAGUGAGACUCCAUCUCAAAAAACAAAAAAAUGAAGUUUCUCCUAGGUUUCCUGUAGUCUUGCACAUGGACUGGAACUUACUAGACCAGUGUCAGAGGCCAAGGCAGCUCCAGAGCCUGUCUCCUGAUCUGUCUCUGCCGCUCUGUCCGCUCUCUGCUCCUCUCACUUCGUCAGCACUGCCCAUUCCCCCUACUUUGCAUGUCCCCUUUCUACUGUGUAGUUUCUGCUUUCUCGUCACCUGUGCAUCAUUUCACCAUGGUCUUAGCCCCAGACCAACUUCUUGGCUUCUCUCUGCAGAGGCAGCACUUUUGUUCCCGUUGCUACUGCCUGAUGCUCUGAGGGCUUGGGGUGCCAACACUGAAGAAGGAUCAUGGGGUUGGCCUAAGACUGCCUUGUUUAGGAUGGAUAGUGGGUGUGGCAGGCCCUGACACCACAUGUCUGGUAAUUCACCCUCUAGCAACCCAGCCCACUUCUCCUAUAUGUUUAGCUCCCAAAACGGCCUGCCAGGAUGCCAUUCUCACUGCUAGAGCUGAAAUAUAUACAAAUAUAUGAAAUAUACAUAAAUUAAUACAGUUAAUAUAAAUUCACUCUAUCCUCCCCAGCAGGAUUCAAACUUGAAAUCUUGCUUCAAAAAGUGAUUAUGAGAAAAAAAAUCUAAUAAUCUGAUCAAAAAGAGGGCAGAAGAUUUGAAUAGACGCUUCUCAAAAUAAGACACACAAAUGCCAAACAGGUAUAAGAAAACGUGCUCAGCAUCAUUGGUCAUCACUGGGAGGCUGAGGUAGGAGAAUUGCUUGAGCCUGGGAGUUCAAGACCAGCCUGGGCAAUAUAGUGAGACCUCAUCUGUAAAUAAAUAAAUAAAAUUUUAAAAAACA